rnacentral:rRNA from 1 species
GACGAACGCUGGCGGCGUGCUUAACACAUGCAAGUCGAACGGAGUGGCGAACGGGUGUGUAAUACGUAGGUAACCUGCCCUCCUUUUUAGGAUAGGCCUUGGAAACUGAUUCUAAUACCGGAUGAAGGGGGAUGGGCUCGCGGCCGAUCAGCUUGUUGGUGGGGUGAUGGACUACCAAGGCGGUGCCGGGUAGCCGGGCUGAGAGGGGGACCGGGCACAUUGGGACUGAGAUGCGGCCCAGAUGACGAAGGGAGGGAGAAGUGGGGGAUAUUGCCCAAUGGGUGAAAGCCGGAUGCAGCGACGCCGCGUGGGGGAUGAAGGUUUUCGGGUUGUAAACCUGUUUCGCUAGCGAACGGGUAGGUGGAGAAGAAGCGCCGGCUAACUACGUGCCAGCAGCCGCGGUAAUUC